CUCUCGCCAGUUUAACUGAACUAAAGUGUGUAUUGAAAUUGAGACUUCUAUGUGGUCUGAGACUUUUUGAGUCAUAAUUUUUGGUGCCGUGACUCGGAUCCCAACAUAGGCAACCUUUCUCUCGGCUGAAUAAGUGACUGAGAGUUUGAAUUGAGCAUAUUAGAAUGGUAGGGCACUCUGAGGUAUUUUACUCCUUGCAUUCAGACAGACGAUCUGCUACUCGCCUAGUGAGAUUGGUACCUUGAAGCGAUCAAACGAACCACCCGGACCAGGAUUAUAAAGUUGGAAACUUGGGACCUGGGAUGUGGCCUCUUGUGAAUAGGCGGUAAACCUAAUUUGAAAGAAAAAUUGGUGCAGCCAUGAUCCGAACAAACAAUAUGAACUUGUCCAAGAACUCCCGGUCGCAAAUGAGGUGAGCGGCGGUCUUCUACUGGGAUGGCCAGAAUGAGCCCAAGCCAUGAUCCAAGUUACAGGUAAAAACCAAAUAUGUCCUGCGAUCCCUAUAUCACCGUGCCAAUCCCGAUGAGGUUUAUUGGGACCAGGAUACCCACUGGGAAUGGAACCUACCUCAGAUGCUGUCCCAGCAAUCACUGCUGAGUAACCCUUUUCCAAAGGGACCCUGGAAAGGGGGACAUGCAGGGCCUAGUAUUACACCUUUGGGACUAGGAAUAAGACAGUGAAUGGGAUGAAUGGCAGGCCCUUGUUUUAAC